UACAGAUAAUUCAAAGCUCUUCUCACCUUUUCUUCCCCUUCACAAAACUCUAGUUCGUGGAGACUUGGAAACUGGGUGGGAGAAAUAUGGUUUUCCAAAACUUAGAAGUUUAGUCCUGUUGGUUUGUGGCAGAAGAAGAGUAAAAAAGACAAAUAUUUACCCUUAACUGGGUGAGAUUAACUGAUAAUCUGUGUGACAGUGUCUGGAAGCUGUAUUUCCAAUGAGGCUUCUUUGCAGAGCUUCUGAUUUUCCUGGGUGGCCAUCUAGAUCAAGCUUUCUUCCAUUCCCCUUGCUGUGAUCUUAUGAUGGUAAGUUAGGGCUGGUUGUGACAGUAUUUACUUUAGUACUAUGGCAUUAUAUAGAAUGUGAAGAAUGUAGUACAUUUUAUUUUCAGCUUUGAGGCAUAAUCACAAUUAUAUGGCAAAGGGAGAACUCCCACUCAAUAUUAUAGUAGAAAUGUAUGUACAAAAAUCUCUAGCUAUAUGUGUGCUACUGUUGUGCUGUUGUUAGUUUAAUUCCUUGCUUAAGGUAUUGUUAAACCUCCAAGAGUAACCUCAUUAGAACAAAGGAUUAUCCUACCUUUUAGGAAAUUCUAAAUAGUUAGGGAGCUCUGUGCCAAGUCAUAAAAACACCAAACUAAAAUAGAGCUUUCAAUAAACAUGCCUACAAAAAUGACAAUUAGAUAUGAUAGAGAUAUAUCUAAUAAAUUCACAGGCAUUUCACUCUCAAGAUAUAUAUAUAUAUAAUAAUUCACACAAAUUAAUCAAACCUAAGGAGAUGGUCAUAAGAAUUCUGGUGUAUAGUCUAUCAGUCAGAAGGGACACUGACUACUACAUCUGAAGUGGGAAUCAGUCUUACGGUACUGAGUCCUCUGAUGUUAUCUCCAAGUAGCAGGUGUCAGAACUUAAUUAGAUGGUCAUAAACUGUAAUGUCCUUUCCUACACUGUCAGCUGGAGAAUUGACAGUACGGUAUGUUGGGAAAUAAAACUCAUAUAUCCAUUGCCAGAGGUAGUAUGUGUUGAGUGGUGCAUGGAUAGGGGAAAAGUUUGGUUUUCCCAUCUCUUAGCAGCAAAACACAAUGACUAGCACAUAAUAGAGUCAAUCACUUAAACGAUGACAACAAAUUAAUAUUAAGUACAGAGCUACCUUAUUAAGGAAAAUUUAUUCUAUCAUUCUCAGACUGGUUUUAUUAAAAGCAUUUUUAUGUAUCUGGAAUAACAUUUAAAAAGGAUAAACUUUACAAAAAGUUCAGGAAAAGUGGCAUGAAAAAUAAUGCAGUUUUGAAAACCCCCCAUUAUAAGAGAUCGUAGAGGCUCAAUUUCCAAAUGUAAUCAUGCUACUCAGUAUACCUGAUGUGGGAAACGAACUAUGUAACUUGUGGGCGGUGAUGUGCGCGGGAAGGAAGGGGUGACUGUCCAUAAAAAGCAAUCCGGGUGCUGGUGGCUCACACCUG